rnacentral:lncRNA from 13 species
CCUGUAUAUUACACAGUAUCUGGCCUGAGGACCUGUAUAUUACACAGUAUCUGGCCUGAGUUAACCUGUAUAUUACACAGUAUCUGGCCUGAGUUAACCUGUAUAUUACACAGUAUCUGGCCUGAGUUAACCUGUAUAUUACACAGUAUCUGGCCUGAGUUAACCUCGCUGUAUAUUCCACAGGGGAGUGAAUGUGGUGCCUUUUCUGGAGUUCAUUGGUUUACCAGAGAAGAUCGUUGGUCUGCUGAAUCACUCUUCUGGCGGCUAUGCCCUCACUGCCUACGCCAUGUACAAGGUAAUACUACUCACUACGCCAUGUACAAGGUAAUACUACUCACUACGCCAUGUACAAGGUAAUACUCCCUGCCUACUCCAUGUACAAGGUUAGAAUACUCCCUGUCUACUCCAUGUACAAGGUAAGAAUACUCCCUGACUAUGACUUGUACAAGGU